AUGCAAAUUGACUCCCGCCUUUGGCUUUUCCCCGGGCUCCGCCCCCGCGCGCUGCAACCCGCGACUUCCAAGAACUCCCCGCGUAGUCCGUUGCCCGGGCCACGCCCCUUUCCCGGACCCGCCCUGCCCGCCCCAGGGAGGCGGGGGCAGAGCUUGCGGCCCAGCGGGAAGGCGGAGGCGGGGGCCGCGCCCAGGUCCCGUGGGGCGUCAGAGGCGUGGGGAAGUCGUGGCUUCUGCACCGCCCUCGGGGGUUCGGCUCCCAAUCGGGGAAAAAGGGCCGAGAGAAUGAAAGAAGAGUCUGAGAAAUGCCCUCAGAAGAUUCCCAGAGCCUCCAAAGGCCCCAGAGACUUUGCUUCUGCCCUGGAUGCUUCCGGUUUUUUACAGAUAACUUCUCCCAUAGUCAAGAGAGAGACUUACUGAUGCUUACGGCAGUCCCAGGCCCUGAAGGCGCGCCCUUCCGGAGUGAAACUUUGUUUGGUUUCUCACGACCCGGAAGGCUUGAAGCAAACCUGCAAUUACUCACCGCCUGGUCUGUGCGGGCUGCAGCUCUCAGACUCAGGAUGAGGUGGCGGUAGGUGGGGUGGGGCUCUUGGGACCCUUUUACCCCUUCGUGCUGCUGGCUGGGGGAGGCCACUGAAGUCUGCGCGCUGCCUUCCACGCAUUCUCCAGACACCUUCCAAAUCCCUGUGGACACUACCUUAUAAACAGAUACUGGAAUUUUCAAAGUUUUGUCAUGCUGUUUGGAACCAGAAAUUCCCUCCCGUGAGGGUUGGAUAUGAAGCCAGUUUGGAGGGGGAAGCUGAGGGUGCAUGCCCUUGGGGCUGCCAAAGCCUUCUCUUCAGUCUGGGGAAGCUGAGGGUGCAUGCCCUUGGGGCUGCCAAAGCCUUCUCUUCAGUCUGGGAGGUUUCUUUUCUUUUUCUUUUUCUUUUUUGAGACAGAGUCUCACUCUGUCGCCCAGGCUGGAGUGCAGUGGCGCGAUCUCAGCUCACUACAACCUCCACCUCCCAGGUUCGAAUGAUUCUCCUGCCUGAGCCUCCCGAGUAGCUGGGACGACAGGCGUGCGCCACCACAUCUGGCUACUUUUUGUAUUUUUAGUAGAGACGGGGUUUCACCAUGGGUUUCAGAGGGUGCAGUGGCUCACGCCUGUAAUCUCAACACUUUGGGAGGUUGAGGCAGGAAGAUCACUUGAGGUCAGGAGUUUGAGAUCAGCCUGGACAACAUGGUGAAAACCUGUCUCUACUAGAAAUACAAAAAUUAGCUGGUGGUGGUGGCAUGCACCUGUAGCCCCAGCUGCUCAGGAGGCUGGCUCAGGAGAAUCAGGAACCUGGGAGGAGGUGGUUUCAGUGAGCCGAGAUUGCUCCAGACUUUGAGACUCCAUCUCAAAAAAAAAAAAAUUAAGCCAGGCAAAGUGGCUGAUGCCUGUAAUUCCAAAGCUUUGAGUGGCUGAGGUGGGAGGAUCACUUGAGGCUAGGAGUUCGAGACCAACCUAUGCAACAUGGCGAGACCACCACCCCCCAUCUCUGCAAAAAAUUAGCCAGGCGUGGUGGCGCACACCUGUAGUCCCAGCUACUCUAGAGGCUGAGGCGGGAGGGUGGCUUGAGCCCAGGAGUUUGAGGCUGCAGUGAGCUAUGAUCAUGUCACUGCACUCCAGCCUGGGUAACAGAGCAAGGCCCUGUCUCAAGAAAAUCAGUUAUUUUUGCAUGUGUAUGGCGUACAUGAGAACAUUUGUUACAUGUCUAUAAUGUAACCUCUCUCUGCUUUGCUUUGCAGCUCUGGCAGGGGCAGGGCAGCAGGUGCUGUGAUGAAGCCACUUGUAAUUGGGAGUGUUCAUGGGAGGGCCUUUGUUGCAGUGAGUGGGCACUGCUGUAUCUCCACAUGCAGCCUGGGAUCCUCAUUUGUUCCCCUCCUUUCUCCCAGACUUGUGCCCUUUUUUCUUGACUUUUUUUUUUUUUUUUUUUUCCCACCCAGGCUGCCAUAUAGUGGUGCCGUCUCAGUUCACUGCAACCUCCACCUCCCGGGUUCAAGCAAUUCUCCUGCCUCAGCCUCCCCAGUACCUGGGACUACAGGCAUGUGCCACCACGCCUGGCUGAUUUUUGUAUUUUAGUAGAGACGGGGUUUCACCAUGUUGGCCAGGCUGAUCUCAAACUCCUGGCCUCAAGUGAUCCAUUAGCCUCAGCCUCUGAAAAUGCUGGGAUUACAGGCGUGAGCCACUGUGCCCGGCCUUUCUUCUUUUUCUUUUUUCUUUUGUUUGUUUUUUUAGAGACAGGGUCUCACUCUGUCACGCAGGUUGCAGUGCAGUGGCAUGAUCAUAGCUCACUGCAGCCCUGAACUCCUGAGCUCAAGUGAUCCUCCCACCUCAGCCUCCCAAGUAGCUGGGACUAUAGGUGCACAUCACCAUGCCUGGCUAAUUUUUAAAUUUUUUUGUAGAUAUGGGGUCUUGCUAUGUUGCUGAGGCUGGUCUCCAAUUCCUGAUUUCAAGUGAGCCUCCUGCCUCUGCCUCCCAAAGUGCUCUGAUGAGCUACCACGCCUGGUCAUUGUCCCUCUUUCUCAUGACUCUCUGGACAUCCCUGGGGUGGAGGGUGGAGCAGGCACACACAUCCCUCAACCUCCCGGUGGUUCCACGAUGACUAAGCCAGCACUGUCCCUGAGGCUGGGAGGCUGGAGCUAGGAUCCACCCCCAUGGCCUCAUAUCCCAAGCUUGAGCCUGGGUUUCUGGUCAGACUAGACGGGCUAGCUCGGCCUCCUUAACUCUCAGAGCUGCCUUGUCCAGGCCCAGCGGGUCCCACACAGCCAGGCACACCCCACCCCACAGGGCUCCUGGGAAAUUCUCUGCCCCACCCUCAGGCUGCCUCAGACAGACUGAGGUUACCUGUGAUUGUCCCAGAUAACCCGAGUGAGCCCAUCCCCUGCUCUGGGUGGUUCCUUCCCUGGCAGCUGACCUGUAAAUUUUGAAAAGCUGGGGACAAUCCUCAGCUAGGAGGAAUGCUCCUGCUGUCUUCCCUGCUGGCCUGGCUACUCCCCAGACUGGACAGGCCCCUUGGCAACUCUUCCCAGGAACCCAGGCAGCCCCAAGCCUCCUCUUGCUUGGUGUUCCAGGCCAGUGAGAAUCUCACUUCUUCUCCAAAACUUUGUCUUCCAACUCCUGUUUUGUUUGUUUGUUUGUUUGUUUGUUUUUUAUUGAGACAGAGUCUCAUUCUGUUACCCAGGCUGGAGCUCAGUGGCACGAUCAUAGCUCACUGCAGCCUCAAACUCCUAGGCUCAAGCAAUUCUUCCCACCUCACCCUCCUGAGUAGCAGGGACUACAGAUGUGUGCCACCAUGGCCGGCUAAUUAAAAAAGUUUUUUUCUUAGGCCAGGCAUGGUGGCUCACGCUUGUAAUCCCAGCACUGUGGGAGGCUGAGGCGGGCACAUCACCUGAGGUCAGGAGUUCGAGACCAGCCUGACCAACAUGGUGAAACCUUGUCUCUACUAAAACUACAAAAAUUAGCUGGGUAUGGUGGUUGCAUGCCUGUAAUCCUAGCUACUCGGGAGUCUGAGGCAGGAGAAUUGCUUGAACCCAAGAGGCAGAGGUUGCAAUGAACUGAGAUCCCGCCACUGCACUCUACCCUGGGUGACAAGAGCAAAACUCCAUCUGGGAAAAAAUAAAAAUAAAAAAAGUUUUUUUUGUAGAGACAGGGAUCUUGAUAUGUUGCCAAGGCUGAUCUAGAACUCCAGGCCUCAAGCAAUCCACCCACCUCAUCCUAAAUGUAUCCUUCUUUAUCUAAAAUGUAUACAAGCAUCUUGGUUUGGCC
ensembl:lncRNA